UUUCUGAUGUUGAGUCAGAAUCUCUUUUCUUGUAACUUGAAGCCAUGGGUUCGGGUCCUACCCUCCAGAGCAGGAGAAAACAAGCUGGCUCCAUCUUCUAUGUAGAAGCCCUUGAGAUAUUUGAAGAUGGCAAUCACAUCUCCUCUCAGUCUCCUCUUCUCCAGGCUAAACAUCCCCAGCUCCUUCAAC